CCCUUAGAUGUUCUGGGCCGCACGCGCGCUACACUGACGAAUUCAACGAGUUUAUAACCUUUGCUGGGAGGCAUGGGUAAUCUUGUGAACGUUCGUCGUGAUGGGGAUAGAUUAUUGCAAUUGUUAAUCUUCAACGAGGAAUUCCUAGUAAACGCAAGUCAUCAGCUUGCAUUGAUUACGUCCCUGUCCUUUGUACACACCGCCCGUCGCACCUACCGAUUGAAUGGUCCGGUGAAUUCUUCGGACUGCGGCUUUGACUCGAUUUCGGUCGAGGCGUUGCUGCGGGAAGUUGAUUAAACCUUACCAUUUAGAGGAAGGUGAAGUCGUAACA
rnacentral:rRNA from 1 species